AGCUUCGGCCAUCCGGCGAGGGAUGGGCCCGCGGUGCAUUAGCUAGUUGGUGGGGUAACGGCCCACCAAGGCGACGAUGCGUAGCUGGUCUGAGAGGAUGAUCAGCCACACUGGGACUGAGACACGGCCCAGACUCCUACGGGAGGCAGCAGCCAGGAAUCUUGGGCAAUGGGCGAAAGCCUGACCCAGCAACACCGUGUGGGCGAUGAAGGCCUUCGGGUCGUAAAGCCCUGUUGAUAGGGACGAAGGGCGAAGGGUUAAUAGCCC
rnacentral:rRNA from 1 species